rnacentral:lncRNA from 1 species
AUGUCUCUUAUUUCGUGUCUAGAAUAUUGCAGUCACAAUCAGCGAAUUCUUUAAAUUCCUCUCACGGACACCCCUUUGCACCAUGAAUCCGAAAUUAUGUAGGCAUUUUCCCUUCUACACAAACAGACUGACUGGCUUGCAGCAGGUACUGAGUAAUCAGUGGCAGGAUCAAAGGUCAAAAUCUCUGAUCUGUAUUCUAACCAUGGCAGGACAGGUCACACCUCUGCAAACAAGCUGGAAACUGUGACACUCUCUCCAACAGCAACCGAAUUCUCUAAGCUGAGCCUCAUUUUAGCCAUCGGUUUCUUUCAGCUCCCUUGCUAAAUCUUUUUUCCCAGAUCUGCUUCUUUCUCUUUCUCGCUUCAUGCCUAACAAGCAAGGAAACAGACAAAAAGAAAGCUGUAGGUGUGGAGCCACAAGCCUGAAAAACCUGACGAAAUGAGAGUUAACUAAAUGGAUUUCUUUGCUACAGUUCAGAACGCGACUUUUCUUGAAUAAUAGAACGAGUCCAAGGAUCUUCAGCAGGGUACAAAGUGAGUCUGUAAUAGAAUUUCACUUGCAUGAAAAUGUUUGCAGAGUCACCAAAUGGACUUAAGAAAACGCGUAAGGUGGUUUUUCCAAAAGGAAAAAAGAAAAACCACCUGUCAGAACUCUGCCACCAGGACAAAACUGAUGCAAAAAACCAGUCACAAAAAUCCUUCAGAGAAGGUCGUCUGGUCACCCAAAGAAAUUUAUAAAUUGUCUGGAGAAGAUGGAUCAGAUGCCAUCAACACUAUUCUUACGCAUUAGGAAGCAUGGCGGGGGGGGGGGGGGGGGGGGGGNACGUGGAAAUAACAAUGCAAACAGUUCCAUCUUUACCAGGAAAGACAUACUGACCAGGCAUUUUUUAAAAACCGUACUUAAUUCCUUAAAAAUGCUAGAACCUCAAGAAGUUUCACCAGUCCUUUGGGGCCAGCUCUCCUCCCUCUGUGCUUGCUCCCGGUGCAUCCAUCCUUUAACUACCUGUAAAUUUACUGAAGUCAGAGACCGUCUGAUUCAUUUCAGUACAGCCUUCAGCAUAUAUCUCUGUGCUCUUACAAUCAUAAACAGGAGAGUUUAAAUGAGCAGUUUUCGGAGCUCUCGUUGCAAACAGAUCCGACUAGUAUCCUUGAGGAUUCAGGUUCGAUGCCUGGCCCCGCUCAGUGGGUUAAGGAUCCGGCGCUGCCCUGAGCUGUGCUGUAGGCCGCAGAGGCAGCUUAGACUUGGCAUUGCUGUGACUGAGGCAAAGGCCAGAAGCUGCAGCUAUGAUUCGACCCCUAGCCUGGGAACUUUCAUAUGCCACAGCGGAGGCCCUAAACAAACAGACAAACAAAAAACAACAAAAGAGAGAAAGAUUUUGCCAAAAGGCCCAACCUUCAGACCCCAGAUUCCAGAAAAUCGGAUCUAGUACAUCUGAACUGAACUCAGCGAUUAAUUCAGAUAUUCAAUAAGCAUUUAUGAAGUAUUUACGUGGUAGGUGUUAUUAACUCCACUAUACGAACAAGUAUACUUUACUCCACAAGUAAAGUAACCUGCUAAAGAUCACAAAACAAAAUAAGUAAGGGUCACGUUUAGGCUGAAGUAGCAGCCCAUGCAUCCCCCCACUCACUCAUUCAUUCUUCAUUCACUUACUCAACUGGUCAUUAAAAACCUGCGGGCUUUCGAAAGGAAAACUCACACACCGACACCAAAUGCCAAUUAUUUCUGUACUCUUCGCUGGCAGUCCCGAAAAACCUUCCCCCCGUGGCGCCCUGGAAGCCAUCGGAAAGUGCACACGAAAGAAGAGAAGAGGGACGGCCUGGCUUUAUUUCUAGAGAUGGCAGCACUUCGCUAUUUUAGGAAUAGCUCUUUUCUUCGUACACUAAUUUUUUUCAAUGGGAAAUAUAUUUUCAGAGGUGACUUUUAAAUCUCUCUUUCUGUCUAGUGGCUUAGUCUUUUAGACGUUAGGAAAAUCCAUCUCUUUAAAUUCAUAUUACCUUUCAUAAUCGCCAUCAAUAUAAACGGAAGUCCCCGAUUUUUUUUUUUUUUUUUUUUUUUUUUUUUUGCUUUUGUUUUUGGGCUUUUUCGGGCUGCACUCACGGCCUAUGGAGGUCCCCAGGCUAGGGGUCGGAUCGGAGCUACAGCUACUGGUCUCGACCGCAGCCACAGCAACGCCAGAUCCCAGCCACGCCUGCGACCCACACCACAGCUCAGGCAAUGCCGGAUCCUUAGCCCACUGAGCGAGGCCAGGGAUGGAACCUGCAUCCUCAUGGUUCCUAGUCGAUUCGUUUCCACUGAUCCACGACGGGACCUCCAAUCCCCAAUAUUUUUAAUCGAAAAGAGUAUCACUUGCUUUAAUUUUUCUCAUCACUCUCACUCCUGGGGAAAGAAACAUUCCUACUAUUUCUGAACUUAACUAAAACAGAGAUUAAACUGUCUUACACCUCACACAUGUCAUAUGACAAGUACAAUACCCAUGUUUAAGUUCUGAGCCGAGUAUUAUCUUACUACAGUGAUGUUCCUACAUAAGGCCUAAGAACGGACAAGUGUAAGACCCAGUAUAACACCUGAGAAGAAAAUACAGCAAAAGGACUUACGCUGCAGGUACACUUUCAAACGAACACAGAUAACUGGACAAAUAAAAUGUCCGCAUUCCAGUGAAAAUUCUUUUCUAGGUCAUAAGACAAACAUUACUUUCAAACUUGCGCAAUUCAGGAGGGGGAAACAUGUUUUGUUUUCAGCCUCUUGAGGGCCACUGUGGUGUUCCGUCUCCGGGACGGAAAACUCACCCCUGGACCCACACCUGUAACUGCCAUCCUCUGCCUGGCCUCCUACUGCAUAUAUCCAGGUCAACAAAAACGGCUUCUUGCUACACUAGAGAAGGUCAGGGGACAAAAAACCUCUUGCUUUGCUAUGCUUCCUGCUUUGUUAUCAGGACAUACCAGCCUCUAGGCUUCAGGUGCUCUGAGAAAACAAGUGGAGAAGCAGAGAGAGAAAUGGACUCGCUGCCAGCAGCCUUCGUGAAUUCAAGCUGAUUCACUCUGUUUGUUCGGUUCCCAUAUCAGCUCAGUUAAUGAUACUCCACCGGAAUAUAUUUGUCCAGGAGUCCGGGCAGAAGCAUUUCUCAGUAAGACAA